rnacentral:rRNA from 1 species
UACGUAGGGUGCAAGCGUUGUCCGGAAUUAUUGGGCGUAAAGAGCUCGUAGGCGGUUUGUUGCGUCGGCUGUGAAAUCCCGAGGCUCAACCUCGGGUCUGCAGUCGAUACGAGCAAACUAGAGUGUUGCAGGGGAGACUGGAAUUCCUGGUGUAGCGGUGAAAUGCGCAGAUAUCAGGAGGAACACCGGUGGCGAAGGCGGGUCUCUGGGCAACAACUGACGUGGAGGAGCGAAAGCGUGGGGAGCGAACAGG